rnacentral:rRNA from 1 species
AUCGAUGAAGAACGCAGCGAAAUGCGAUAAGUAAUGUGAAUUGCAGAAUUCAGCGAAUCAUCGAAUUUUUGAACGCACAUUGCGCCUCAGAGUAUUCUUUGAGGCAUACCUGUUCGAGCGUCGUUUAGACCAUAAGGCUUUGCCUUGCGUUGAUUUAUUGGAGUGAUCCAAUAAUCUAAACUUGUUGGCGUCGUAGUUUGACCAAGACACAGCACAAUGUGACACUGGAAAAAUCAAUGACUGCCUAUUCGAACUGUUUCUUCACGGAAACGUAGGUUCGACCUCGGAUCAGGUAAGACUACCCGCUGAACUUAAGCAUAUCAAUAAGCGGAGGAAAAGAAACCAACAGGGAUUGCCUCAGUAACGGCGAGUGAAGCGGCAAAAGCUCAAAUUUGAAAUCUGGUCCUAGACCCGAGUUGUAAUUUGUAGAGGAAUGUUCGGCGACGCCUAGGUCUGAGUCUUCUGGAAGGAAGCGCCUUUGAGGGUGAGAGCCCCGUAGGACUGAUGGCUGAACCAUGUGUACAUCCUUCGACGAGUCGAGUUGUUUGGGAAUGCAGCUCAAAACGGGUGGUAAAUUCCAUCUAAAGCUAAAUAUUGGCCAGAGACCGAUAGCGCACAAGUAGAGUGAUCGAAAGAUGAAAAGCACUUUGGAAAGAGAGUGAAACAGUACGUGAAAUUGUUGAAAGGGAAGCGCUAGCGACCAGAUUUGGAAAUGACGUUCAGCGGUUCGCGUGGACCGUGUACUUCGUCUUUUACUUGCCAGCAUCGGUUUUCGGGGUUGGAUAAAAGCUUUGGGAACGUAGCACUGCUUCGGUAGUGUGUUAUAGCCCUUUGCACAAUACAGCCACUGAAGACCGAGGAACGCCUUUUUGUAGGAUGCUGGCGUAAUGGUUGCUAGCGGCCCGUCUUGAAACACGG